rnacentral:lncRNA from 1 species
GUCAUCUAUUGGUAUAAUGACGUUAUUGAAUGCAUUUCUAAAACAAGCUCUAGACAUUUAUUUUUGGAAAUGAAUCCGGAAGCUGCAAUGCAACUCAAACGCCUGGGCUAGAGUUGCUUGAUUGACUAGCUAACUUCGACUACCUACGUUCGGUUCAUAUCCUUUGCAGAUGCCACCUUACUGACAAAAGUUUGAACGGAUAACAAAAUCUGUAACCGGGUAAAGGGAGACGUAAAGUAAGAAUUGAUUGUGUAAAUGGUCAUUCAUAGUCGUAACAUAGGGUUUGUACGUUUACAGAUUUAUUUUAACUGUCACGGUUGUUGUAAGAGACGGACCAAGGCGCAGCGUUUGUUGAGUUCCACAUAUUUAUUUAAAGUGAAACUUCUUUAACCAAAACAAUAAACAAGCAACACAACGUGACUACGUGGUGACACAAGCACCAAUACAAACAAUAUCCCACAAACACAGGUGGGAAAAAUGGCUAGCUAAAUAUGAUCCCCAAUUAGAGGCAACGAUUACCAGCUGCCUCUAACUGGGAACCAUACAAAACAGCAACAUAAAAAUAUUGAACUAGAACACCCCCUAGUCACGCACUGACCUACUACACCUUAGAGAACCAGGGGCUCUCUAUGGUCAGGUCGUGACAUUAACGUUUCAUGCAUGGCCUUUCUUACGAUCCUAACAAUUUACGUAUGGAUUUUCUAACGAUCCUAACGAUAUGUAUGUUCAAUCUUUUGGCAGGUAGUUGGCUCCAUACACCAUUCCCUGAGCACAUCACUAAACCCCGCUCCUGUCAUCAGAGUGAGAUCAAGGUGUGCAGCUGUCUCCUGUCCUCAGAUCUCUACCCAUCGCUGUUGUGUGGUUCCAGCUGAUCUCAGCUCCUGACCUGCACAGUCCUUUCCUGUCGCUGACAUGGGUCUGGCUGUCUGCUGUCCUGAGAUCUCGGCGCGUGGCUGCUGUGGAGAUCCAGCCCACCUUAGCUGCAGUUUCGGAGCCCUUACCUGUUGUUGCUGUGGAGGCCCAACUGAGCCCUGCUGCUGCGGCUUGGCCUCCUGAUCUAGGGCUUUCGUCUUGUUGCCCUGCUGCGGCCUAGCCUCCUGAUCCAGGGCCUCUGUCUGGUAGCUGCUGCCCGUUGCUGCUUUGUGGGUCCAGCCACCAAAGUAUCCACUCCUGAGACUAUCAUCAAGCUCUGCUGCAGCGGCCCCGAUGUCUCCAGUCCCGGUGUCUUCAGCCGACACCAUGCCAGGGGUCAAGAGCACUGCAGAGGUCCUCCUGUUGCCUUUUUUUGGGCAGAGGGGGUGACCGCAACCGAGUCCACCACUGCAUCCUGUUGGCUCCCCUCUUCAAGAACUGCUGUACAGCCUGCACUGGUGUCCGCCAUGUCACUCUGGUUUGGUGACCUCAAGCACCUUCCUGACGGGGUGGCCAGAUGCCCAAAGAACCAAACCCUGCUUGGCCAGAUGCCUAUGCUCUAUGUCUAUGCCCUACUUGGCCAGACACUCACAAGGACUGGACUUUUCCUUGUCUGGCUCCUUCACAGCUCUGCUUCCCUGUCUAGGACAAUGAACACACACUAGUGGCCUUCUGUCAUCCCCUUUGUUAGAGCCUUUUGUUUAGAGUUCACAUUUACACAGUAAAUGUGGGGGUGGCUGUUAGAAAGGCCAACUCUGAUUUAGUAGUUUCAGCACCCCUUUUCUAGUAGUUUAUUAUAUUUGCCCAACACCCCUUAUUUCUCACAGUAGUGGUACCUGGAAUCUGUUACAUUCCAGUCAUGUUUUCAGUUAUUAUGCUUACCAGUAUUUUGGUCCUGUAAGUGUAAUACUGUAGCUUGUGUAUUUGGUUUGGGCGCUUACAUUAUAUCUUGGUAUAAACAGUAUACUCAUGGUUAUAUUUUUUUAAAUCUUUCCAUAGAACCACGUUUAUACACUCUCACUUUUACUGUGAGCCAUCAUUACAGAGGAGUGUGGUGUGGUGAACCUUUAUCUUUAAUAAACCUGACAAUACUGUGA